GACGAACGCUGGCGGCGUGCUUAACACAUGCAAGUCGAACGGAAAGGCCCUGCUUUUGUGGGGUGCUCGAGUGGCGAACGGGUGAGUAACACGUGAGUAACCUGCCCUUGACUUUGGGAUAACUUCAGGAAACUGGGGCUAAUACCGGAUAGGAGCUCCUGCUGCAUGGUGGGGGUUGGAAAGUUUCGGCGGUUGGGGAUGGACUCGCGGCUUAUCAGCUUGUUGGUGGGGUAGUGGCUUACCAAGGCUUUGACGGGUAGCCGGCCUGAGAGGGUGACCGGCCACAUUGGGACUGAGAUACGACCCAGACUCCUACCGGAGGCAGCAGUGUAGAAUAUUUCACAAUGGGCGGAAGCCUGAUGCAGCAACGCCGCGUGCGGGAUGACGGCCUUCGGGUUGUAAACCGCUUUCGCCUGUGACGAAGCGUGAGUGACGGUAAUGGGUAAAGAAGCACCGGCUAACUACGUG
rnacentral:rRNA from 1 species